AUUGAACGCUGGCGGCAUGCUUUACACAUGCAAGUCGAACGGCAGCGCGGGCUUCGGCCUGGCGGCGAGUGGCGAACGGGGAGGUAAUUCAUCGGAACGUGCCCAGUAGUGGGGGAUAGCCCGGCGAAAGCCGGAUUAAUACCGCAUACGACCUGAGGGUGAAAGCGGAGGACCGAAAGGCCUCGCGCUAUAUGAGAGGCCGAUGUCGGAUUAGCUAGUUGGUGGGGUAAAGGCUUACCAAGGCGACGAUCCGUAGCUGGUCUGAGAGGACGACCAGCCACACUGGGACUGAGACACGGCCCAGACUCCUACGGGAGGCAGCAGUGGGGAAUUUUGGACAAUGGGGGCAACCCUGAUCCAGCCAUGCCGCGUGCGGGAAGAAGGCCUUCGGGUUGUAAACCGCUUUUGUUCGGGAAGAAAUUCUCUGGGCUAAUCCCUCGGGGGGAUGACGGUACCGGAAGAAUAAGCACCGGCUAACUACGUG
rnacentral:rRNA from 1 species